GGCGCUGCCGCCGCCGCUGCCGCCACUACCAUCACGCUCGCUCGUCCUGUCUCUUUCUCUGAGGAGAGGGGAUCGUUGUCAGCCAGACGAAGCCACCAGAAAGCAAGCAAGAUAUAGAUUAACACCCAAUAAUUGGAUCAAAUAAUUCCAAAACAACAUCAUGACUAAGGGAAGAUCUUUCUCAUAUUGCAAUUUACUGGGAUUCAAAUUUAUCAUAUAUGAGAGAUCAGUCUCCAGUUGCCUCCAGCUCGAGCUUUCUCAGUUGCUGCCCUGAGACUGUGAAAUGUGCUCCCUACUGAGAUGCAAUCCUCAUCUCUGACAAUUUUUUAAAAGCAUUUGAAAAUCCACCUCUUCACCCAAGCUUUUUCAGUUCUUUAACAUGUUAAGGUUUUAAUUUGUGGGUGAUUUUUAAAUUGUUAAAUUGUUUUAAGUUUUUGUAUAUAUUUUAACUUGUUUUAUGCUAUUGUU